AAUAGGUUAAGAAAAAUAUUGCAUCAUUUAAACGGCAUUUACCUUUCUAUUGAUGCCAAAGUUAACAAGAAGUAAGUUCAAAUUGUGGGUAUAUUUAACUUUUGUUUCGUCCUAAUACUUAUGCCGACUAGUGUACACUGAAAAAACAAAUUCAAAUAUAUCGAUAUUUGUUUUCAUUUUCUAUCGUUUUAAAGAGUACAUAGUCUAUUACACGCUUGCUGAGUGUUGCUGUAUAAUUAUACCCUUUUACUCUACGAGUAACGGGUAUAAAUAUUAAGAAAACGAUUUUGAAGGCCGUGAACUCGGCCAUUCUCGAAUCCACGGCGCAAAUGUUGGCUCUCUGGAGGAAAAUGGCACCAGUAGAGCCAAUUCUAAAGGCCGACUUCCCCAUCCGGUCGCUAAACCAUUUAAAGGAGGUGGACGAAAAGAUUUACGGGAAAAUGGAAAAAUACGUACCGCUCCUUAAAUCCAUUUUGGAGUUACAACUUAAUUAAAAACUUGGACCAAAUUUUAAGCCCGGAUGUGAUUUUACAACUAAACUACAGUGGGUCCAAACAUAAAUAUGGACUCGCCAAUUUCCACAACUUAAAUUCAGUCCUGCAAGAAUCACAAAAACGGGAAGGAUAUUCCUUAUUGGAAUAUAUAAAAGACGUCCGGUUGGCCUUUAUGCGCCAAAAAAAUAAAAUAUAUAAGGGGAAAAGCGCAUUAAAGAAGGCCCACCCGGAGCCAGGAGCCGAACCGUACGAUUCUGACUCUGAAUAAAAAUAAAUAAAUAAAAAUAUGAAAUUGAAA